AGAGCUUGAUCCUGGCUCAGAACGAACGCUGGCCGCAGGCCUAACACAUGCAAGUCGAGCGGACGUCCCCUCUAAAGGACGCCAGCGGCGCACGGGUGAGUAACACGUAAGAACCUACCCCGUUCAACGGCACAACGCAGGGAAACCUGCGCUAAUUCCGUAUGACUCCUGCACCAGGUAAAGAACCCUUCGGAGCGGGAUGAGCUUGCGCUAGAUUAGCUCGUUGGCGGGGCAAAUGCCCACCAAGGCACCGAUCUAUAGCUGGUCUGGGAGGACGGACAGCCACACUGGGACUGGAACAAGGCCCAGACUCCCGCGGGAGUCAGCAGUGAGGAAUCUUGGACAAUGGGCGAAAGCCUGAUCCAGCCAUGCGGCGUGAGCGAUUAGAAGCAAAACCUUCUCAAGGUUCGUAAAUGAACCGUAAACCUCUUUUACAAAACGAAAAUGAUGAUGUUAGUUUUGCGAAUAAGCUCCGGCCAACUUCGUGCCAGCAGCCGCGGUAACACGAGGGGAGCAAGCGUUGUUCGGUUUGAUUGGGCGUAAAGCGCGCGUAGGCGGCUGCGCAAGUCGAUAGAAGUCAAACAAUGGAGCUCAACUCCAUUCCGCUUCCGAUACUACGCGGCUUGAGGUCGGCGGAGGCGAACGGAACUCCAAGUGUAGAGGUGAAAUUCGUUAAUAUUUGGAGGAACACCAGAGGCGAAAGCGGUCCGCCAUACCGAUUCUGACGCUAAUGCGCUAAAGCGUGGGGAGCAAACAGGAUUAGAUACCCUGGUAGUCCACGCCCUGAACGAUGAGUGCUAACAGCUGAAAACCUAACACAAGUUUACGUUUUUGAUUGUAAAGCUAACGCGUUAAGCACUCCGCCUGGGGAGUACGGCCGCAAGGUUGAAACUCAAAGGAACUGACGGGGACCCGCACAAGCGGUGGAGCAUGUGGUUUAAUU
rnacentral:rRNA from 1 species